rnacentral:rRNA from 1 species
GAUGAACGCUGGCGGCGUGCCUAAUACAUGCAAGUCGAGCGAACGGACGAGAAGCUUGCUUCUCUGAUGUUAGCGGCGGACGGGUGAGUAACACGUGGAUAACCUACCUAUAAGACUGGGAUAACUUCGGGAAACCGUAGCUAAUACCGGAUAAUAUUUUGAUCCGCAUGGUUCAAAAGUGAAAGACGGUCUUGCCGUCACUUAUAGAUGGAUCCGCGCUGCAUUAGCUAGUUGGUGAGGUAACGGCUUACCAAGGCAACGAUGCAUAGCCGACCUGAGAGGGUGAUCGGCCACACUGGAACUGAGACACGGUCCAGACUCCUACGGGAGGCAGCAGUAGGGAAUCUUCCGCAAUGGGCGAAAGCCUGACGGAGCAACGCCGCGUGAGUGAUGAAGGUCUUCGGAUCGUAAAACUCUGUUAUUAGGGAAGAACAUAUGUGUAAGUAACUGUGCACAUCUUGACGGUACCUAAUCAGAAAGCCACGGCUAACUACGUG